rnacentral:rRNA from 1 species
CUACGGGCUGCACCAGUGAGGAAUAUUGGUCAAUGGGCGCAAGCCUGAACCAGCCAUCCCGCGUGAAGGAUGACGGCCCUAUGGGUUGUAAACUUCUUUUAUGCACCAAGAAUGUGAGCUACGUGUAGUUUUUUGACGGUAGUGCAUGAAUAAGCAUCGGCUAACUCCGUGCCAGCAGCCGCGGUAAUACGGAGGAGUGCAAGCGUUAUCCGGAUUCAUUGGGUUUAAAGGGUGGGUAGGCGGGCUAUUAAGUCAGAGGUGAAAUGCUGCCGCUUAACGGUAGAAUUGCCUUUGAUACUGAUAGUCUUGAGUAUAGUUGAGGUAGGCGGAAUAUGUUGUGUAGCGGUGAAAUGCUUAGAUAUAACAUAGAACACCAAUUGCGAAGGCAGCUUACUAAACUAUAACUGACGCUGAUGCACGAAAGCGUGGGGAGCGAACAGGAUUAGAUACCCGAGUAGUC